rnacentral:rRNA from 1 species
AGUGAACGCUGGCGGUAGGCCUAAUACAUGCAAGUCGAACGGCCGCACAGUAAGCGCUUGCUCUUACGGGUGGCGAGUGGCGGACGGGUGAGGAAUACAUCGGCAUCUACUUUUUCGUGGGGGAUAACGUAGGGCCACUUACGCUAAUACCGCAUACGACCUACGGCUGAAAGCAGUGGAUCUUCGGACCUUGCGCGAUUCAAUGAGACGAGGUCGGAUUGGCUAGUUGGCGGGGUAAAGGCCCACCAGGGCGACGCUCCGUAGCUGGUCUGAGAGGUUGGUGGGCCACACGGGAACUAGGACAGGUCCAGGACCCUUAGGGAGGGAAGCGUUGGGAAAUAUUGGCAAAUGGGGGCAAGCUUGAUCCAGCCAGACCGGGUGGGUGAAGAAGGCCUUCGGGUGGAAAAGCCCUUUUGUUGGGAAAGACAAGCGGCAGGGUAAUACCGCGCUGUUCGGACGGUACCCAUAGGAUAAGCACCGGCUAACUUCGU